rnacentral:rRNA from 1 species
GACAGAGGGUGCAAACGUUGUUCGGAAUUACUGGGCGUAAAGCGCGUGUAGGCUGCUCGGAAAGUCGGAUGUGAAAGCCCUGGGCUCAACCUAGGAAGUGCAUUCGAAACUACCGAGCUAGAGUUCUGGAGAGGAAGGCGGAAUUCUCGGUGUAGAGGUGAAAUUCGUAGAUAUCGAGAGGAACACCGGUGGCGAAGGCGGCCUUCUGGACAGUGACUGACGCUGAGACGCGAAAGCGUGGGGAGCAAACAGG